GGUUCGUUAGCUUAGUUGGUAAAAGCACUUGUCUAUCGUUUAAGGGUCGUGAGUUCAAAUCCCACAAGAGCUU
rnacentral:tRNA from 1 species